AAAGUUGUUGCAGUUAAAAAGCUCGUAGUUGAACCUUGGGUAUGGCUGGCCGGUCCGCCUCACCGCGAGUACUGGUCCGGCUGGACCUUUCCUUGUGGGGAACCUCAUGGCCUUCACUGGCUGUGGGGGGAACCAGGACUUUUACUGUGAAAAAAUUAGAGUGUUCAAAGCAGGCCUUUGCUCGAAUACAUUAGCAUGGAAUAAUAGAAUAGGACGUGCGGUUCUAUUUUGUUGGUUUCUAGGACCGCCGUAAUGAUUAAUAGGGAUAGUCGGGGGCGUCAGUAUUCAGCUGUCAGAGGUGAAAUUCUUGGAUUUGCUGAAGACUAACUACUGCGAAAGCAUUCGCCAAGGAUGUUUUC
rnacentral:rRNA from 1 species